AUUGAACGCUGGCGGCAUGCCUUACACAUGCAAGUCGAACGGCAGCGGACCUUCGGGUGCCGGCGAGUGGCGAACGGGUGAGUAAUAUAUCGGAACGUACCUUUCAGUGGGGGAUAACGUAGCGAAAGUUACGCUAAUACCGCAUAUUCUGUGAGCAGGAAAGCAGGGGAUCGCAAGACCUUGCGCUGAUUGAGCGGCCGAUAUCAGAUUAGCUAGUUGGUGAGGUAAAGGCUCACCAAGGCGACGAUCUGUAGCGGGUCUGAGAGGAUGAUCCGCCACACUGGAACUGAGACACGGUCCAGACUCCUACGGGAGGCAGCAGUGGGGAAUUUUGGACAAUGGGCGCAAGCCUGAUCCAGCCAUGCCGCGUGAGUGAAGAAGGCCUCGGUUGUAAGUACUCUUUCGGUCCGGGUAACGGAAAGUACGCGACAGGUUAAGUAACCCUCGUGUGGA
rnacentral:rRNA from 1 species